CUCUUUCUACUGCUUCACAACAGUUCACAAGCCACAACACUUCCAGCAUUAAUUCUUCUUCAACAAACCAGAAGACUCAUUAGGAUCCAUAAUAGCUGCCAGUGUAGAGGAGCCUCAGUUACUUUCACUUUGAUCAUUAUCCCUGGGAGAAGAAGCCAACAGCUCCUGGUGACCACAAUAAGAGAUUUCAUUUUUACCUCUUACGAAGAGCUCAGUGGAACAUUUCUCAUCACCGGCUGUCACAUAAUACUCUGAAUCAUCUGUCAUCUGACAGUUAUUGAUAAACAGGAUUCUCUGGCAUCCUUUGUGUUCAAAGAUGUAUCUGUUUUGAAUAGGAUGAAAAUAAACAGAGUCUGUGAAUGUGA